rnacentral:rRNA from 1 species
GACAGAGGGUGCAAACGUUGUUCGGAAUUACUGGGCGUAAAGCGUGUGUAGGCGGCUUUGCAAGUCGGAUGUGAAAGCCCCGGGCUCAACCCGGGAAGUGCACUCGAUACUGCAGAGCUUGAGUGUCGGAGAGGUUGGUGGAAUUCUCGGUGUAGAGGUGAAAUUCGUAGAUAUCGAGAGGAACACCAGAGGCGAAGGCGGUUACCUGGACAGUUACUGACGCUCAGGCACGAAAGCAUGGGGAGCAAAAGGG